rnacentral:sRNA from 1 species
GCGUGGAGCAUUUUUCAAUUUGACUUCAAAUAUUUAAAAAUGAAAAAUGCUCCAACGCGGAGCAUUUUUCAAUUUGACGUUUGAAAAUGAAAUAUGAAAAAUGAUUCAAUUUCUCAUUUUUC